GACGAACGCUGGCGGCGUGCCUAAUACAUGCAAGUCGAACGAGAGCGACCGGUGCUUGCACUGGUCAAUCUAGUGGCGAACGGGUGAGUAACGCGUGGGUAACCUGCCCAUCAGAGGGGGAUAACAUCCGGAAACGGAUGCUAAAACCGCAUAGGUCUUCGAACCGCAUGGUUUGAAGAGGAAAAGAGGCGCAAGCUUCUGCUGAUGGAUGGACCCGCGGUGCAUUAGCUAGUUGGUGAGGUAACGGCUCACCAAGGCCGUGAUGCAUAGCCGACCUGAGAGGGUGAUCGGCCACAUUGGGACUGAGACACGGCCCAAACUCCUACGGGAGGCAGCAGUAGGGAAUCUUCCGCAAUGGACGCAAGUCUGACGGAGCAACGCCGCGUGAGUGAAGAAGGUUUUCGGAUCGUAAAACUCUGUUGUUAGAGAAGAACAAGUGCUAGAGUAACUGUUAGCGCCUUGACGGUAGCUAACCAGAAAGCCACGGCUAACUACGUG
rnacentral:rRNA from 1 species